AUUCUUCUUUUAGGGGUGAUUCCAUGAUCAUGAAGGUGGUUUCCCCAGGGUGAGGCUUAUCUACUGCACUCCAGAUGGGCUGAUCCUUGUGAUUUUCCCAAAUGCAGGAGACUUGACUGCAUAAUUUGUGGUAGUGGGAGACCCUGUUUGUGCUCUCUCCUG